AUGUGUUGAGAGAGAGAGACGAGAGAGAGAAUGGCCAGGGACUCGGAUCAUGGAGCUUUCAUGGAGAAAUUCAUUCUACAACCCAGCUCUUCAACUCAUGAAAUGCCCUUGAAGGGCCUCACCUUUGCUGUUAAAGACAUGUGAGUCCCUUCCCCUACUGAAUUCCUUGCAUUUUUCCUCCUAAUGACUCCUCAAUUUUUUUGGGUCAAUCUCUUUAUCCUUGUUUCCAAGUGAUUCCAAAUUCCUAACACAAUUUCAGCUACUGGGUACUUUCAAUUCUCUAUUUUUUGUGUGUGUAGUGGGGGUGCACAAGUGAUCGUAUAUGAUAUUUGAGCAGAAUUAAUUUUUAAAAUGGAUUGAUUUUUUUUUUUUUUUUUUGCUUUUUUUUUUCCAUUUAUAAACAUAGCUGUUACCAAUUAUUGUGAAGAUAGUUUGGUAUACAAAAUGUGAGCCAAGAAUGUGUCUACACAAUAUUGGGUGUUCCCUUUCAAUAAUUUCAAUAAUAGUGUGUAUAUAAUCUUGAAAUUAUAAUGGUUCACAUCCCAAAAUAUAGGGUUUUGCACCCCCAUUGGUAGCACGAAAGUGUAUACCACUAUCGUACUAACAUUUUCUCCUUCAUCAUUACGAGAAUAUGCUUCAGUUGUUAAUGCAGUCCCUCAUAAAAACGUAUGUUAAAUUUAAUUUAUCAUCAAAUUUCCUUAACAAGGGUCCAACGUCUGCGUUCGCACUCCCAAAUUAGAACCUUAGAUUUGGCUGUAUCUUGUCAAUAGGUUCUGUAUUUUAUAUUUUGUAGGAACUUUUGUGUUAUAUUUCUUUUUAAAUUGGUAAAAAAAUUGCAAGCAGAUAUAAGUGUAUGAGUACUCACAAUAUCUUUUGUAUAUGGGAUAUUGGUAUGUACCUAUUUUAAAAUUUGCCCUUUUUUUUGUAUAGUGUGUGAUAUUUGUAUGUAAUAUAACUAUACGUAUUACCAUCUCUAUGCUAACCUGGUUGAACUCUAUUUUACACUGUUUCCCAGGAAUAUUAUUUAUUUUGUUUUUCAUUCCUGGUUUUAUGUCCUUCCUAACGGAUUGAACAAUUUUGGUCAUUGGUUCAGAUUUUUUUUAUGAUUAUGUAGCAUGUUUUGUGUUUUAUUUCCUCAAUUGAAAAAAAAUUUUGAAUGCCAGAUUGAUGUGGAUGGAUCUACUGGUUUGGAAUCCCGCUUGGGCACGGACUCACUCGCUGCCUACUCAACCUCUGCCGGCCUGUUUUUGGCUUUGGUUAGGGCGGUGCUACAUGUGUGGGCAAAACUGUCAUGGAUGAAAAAACAAAAAAGAAAAAACAAUGCAUACGGUUUAGGGUUAAACUCAUGUUCUUAUCGAUAGCUCUUUUAUUCUUGUUGGAAUGGACGAUAAAAUGUUGUAUCUAAGUGUGAUUCAUUUAGGCAUGCGUGAGAGUGUGUUUUAUACUACUACAAGGUGAUGCACCCACAUAUUCAACCUAAUAGAUUCAAUUUAUCACUCAGAUUUCCAUAGAGAAGUAAUGUUUUGAGUAACCAAAAUUUAAGUGAACCUAACCAUUCUAAUCCGAAGACUAAGUGAGCAGGAAGAGACCAUAAAAUGAUAUAAAAAAAAAAUGGGAGGAAACAGAUAUAUUUAGGAGUUCUGCUUGAUCAAAUCAGAGUUUGAUUUCAAUUUGACAUCUUAUGAUGUUGUUGAGAAGAGGAAGAAAAAAGACAGGUUUAAUUGGAAUGUUCGGAUUUAAGGAGUACUGGAGUGAUUGUGAGAAGAAAAGUAGACGUCGGUGGCUGAAGAACUCCUGGAAUGUGGGAUUCCUUAUUCAGUGGAAAGAGGUUUGGAUAAAGACAUUAUCCUUAUUACUUCAACUGAAAGUAUUGGACAAUUUUGAAACGAACGAAAAGAAAUAAAGCGUGCCUCGGCAUCAAAAAAAUUGUCAACGCCAAAUUGUGUCGUUUCCUUUAUAAUAAAGUAGUACAUAUGUAUAAUAUCUAUAUCUAUAUAUGUAUGCGUAUGUGUGUAAAAUCGUCCGCAUGGUACUUUUUUUUAAUAAACUAAGAAAACUGUGCUCCGCUAGGAAAACACUGUCCAAUUGUUUUUUUUUUUAUUUUGUUUUAAUUUUUAUAACCGGCUCUCUGAGACUCCUAGAAAAAAAUUUCUUUAACUAGGUGAAUGAUCAGUAAGCUUACCUUAUGUUGUAAAUUAUGUACGUUGAAUAAUUAUCGUUUUACCGAUGUAUGGCCGAAAAUCCCAACUAUGGACACAAAAAUCAUGUGCACCUAUGGGUUACCUGGAGGCUUCUGCUAGUGGAUCUGCUGUUGCAGUGCUGCACAGCUUGUAGAUUCUCUUCGGUGUGCAACAUUAUGGUUAAAAUAUUUCUGUGUUUAUUUGUAUUUCUUUCAUUAGAUGGAGAAAGGUUCCCUUAAUCACAGCAAGGACAGGAGACAAGUGUAAGAGUUACCGCCAUAUUACUGUGGGAUUUGGGGGCUUCGGCCUUCUCCUGGUGU
rnacentral:lncRNA from 1 species